rnacentral:rRNA from 1 species
CACUCCUGCGGGAGGCAGCAGUGGGGAAUAUUGCACAAUGGGCGCAAGCCUGAUGCAGCCAUGCCGCGUGUAUGAAGAAGGCCUUCGGGUUGUAAAGUACUUUCAGCGGGGAGGAAGGCGAUAAGGUUAAUAACCUUGUCGAUUGACGUUACCCGCAGAAGAAGCACCGGCUAACUCCGUGCCAGCAGCCGCGGUAAUACGGAGGGUGCAAGCGUUAAUCGGAAUUACUGGGCGUAAAGCGCACGCAGGCGGUCUGUCAAGUCGGAUGUGAAAUCCCCGGGCUCAACCUGGGAACUGCAUUCGAAACUGGCAGGCUAGAGUCUUGUAGAGGGGGGUAGAAUUCCAGGUGUAGCGGUGAAAUGCGUAGAGAUCUGGAGGAAUACCGGUGGCGAAGGCGGCCCCCUGGACAAAGACUGACGCUCAGGUGCGAAAGCGUGGGGAGCAAACAGGAUUAGAUACCCCGGUAGUCCCA